AGAGGUGCGAGGUCUGUUGGGUCUGUUGCUUGUGAGCGGGUGAACGGAGCACGGGAGCGUGCAUCGUUUCGUGGGCGGCGUCAGUCAAAUAAAACUCCCGGCGGAGUUGCGGCGCCGCUAAGGAAAGUUGUUCUACUGCUUACGAGUAGUGUCCGACGAGCUUUACUGAACUAUUAGAGGAUUUCUGGCUUUCAGACUGAAAGUUUGCGUCUGUGCUGAACUCGGAAGUACGGCCUCUGGGCCGUCAAGCGCAUCGCAGCGCAUUGUAUGAGAGUAGUGUGCGUGUGCGCGCGCGUGUGUGUUUGCCAUCGGAGUGUGACUGCUUGAGCGGAGAGUCGGAAAGAGACCGGGCUGCGAGCAUCGACGGAAGCAGACACUGCAAACUCUCGAGAAGUUCUCAACUAACGGGUGCGGACUACACCGACUAGCAGUAUGACUUCUCGGUUUACGGUGUCCAAGACCGAGAAAAAUCUGCUCGCCGACGACGCUUCGGCCGAGCCCCGCUACGGAUCCACGGGCCGCGGCAGUGCGUCGGGCUACGAAGACGCCGACUUUCACGGAAACCUGUUCUCAGCUGACCAACGAGCUGGUUUCAAGGAAUACAUGCUGCUGUUUGGACUGGUAACUUAGCCAGAUUCGUUUUACGUGAAACCUUACUGUACAUGAGUAGCAUGAUCAGUUAGUUAAUAUCUUGCGCUUUGGAUGUAAUGCAGAAACAGUGCGUCAUUAGCCGCAAGGCUGCGUCGCCAGUCUUUCAUACAUACAAAAUAACAGAACAUACAUACAUAUUCUUGCGGACUGAUCUGCGGAAACGAAGCAUUUCUUCACCAAGGUAUAUAGCCUUAUGUAAUAUUAUAUAAGGCAGUAUUGUGCAACGUUUAUUGGCGAAUAAAUGAAUAAGUAUCUAGA
rnacentral:lncRNA from 1 species